rnacentral:rRNA from 1 species
GAGGAAUAUUGGUCAAUGGGCGAGAGCCUGAACCAGCCAAGUAGCGUGAAGGAUGACUGCCCUAUGGGUUGUAAACUUCUUUUAUAAGGGAAUAAAGUGGAGUAUGUAUACUCCUUUGUAUGUACCUUACGAAUAAGGAUCGGCUAACUCCGUGCCAGCAGCCGCGGUAAUACGGAGGAUCCGAGCGUUAUCCGGAUUUAUUGGGUUUAAAGGGAGCGUAGGCGGAUGUUUAAGUCAGUUGUGAAAGUUUAAGGCUCAACCUUGAAAUUGCAGUUGAGACUGGAUAUCUUGAGUAUUGGAGAGGCAAGUGGAAUUCCUAGUGUAGCGGUGAAAUGCGUAGAUAUUAGGAGGAACACCAGUGGCGAAGGCGACUUUCUGGACAAUAACUGACGCUGAGGCUCGAAAGCGUGGGGAGCGAAC